AUGAACCUUCGGGGCAGGGUGAAAUUCCCGACCGGCGGUAAAGAAAGCAGUCUGCUCGGAUGAACUGUUUUCAAAGCCCGCGACUCGUUCCAAGGUAAACUUUUGGAGCGACUGACUUGGUGAGAUUCCAAGGCCGACGGUAUAGUCCGGAUGGGAGAAGGUCUAA
rnacentral:ncRNA from 1 species